UAGGGAAUCUUCCACAAUGGACGCAAGUCUGAUGGAGCAACGCCGCGUGAGUGAAGAAGGUUUUCGGAUCGUAAAGCUCUGUUGUUGGUGAAGAAGGAUAGAGGUAGUAACUGGCCUUUAUGUGACGGUAAUCAACCAGCAAGUCACGGCUAACUACGUGCCAGCAGCCGCGGUAAUACGUAGGUGGCAAGCGUUGUCCGGAUUUAUUGGGCGUAAAGCGAGCGCAGGCGGAAGAAUAAGUCUGAUGUGAAAGCCCUCGGCUUAACCGAGGAACUGCAUCGGAAACUGUUUUUCUUGAGUGCAGAAGAGGAGAGUGGAACUCCAUGUGUAGCGGUGGAAUGCGUAGAUAUAUGGAAGAACACCAGUGGCGAAGGCGACUCUCUGGUCUGCAACUGACGCUGAGGCUCGAAAGCAUGGGUAGCGAACAGG
rnacentral:rRNA from 1 species